rnacentral:misc_RNA from 1 species
GAUGAAGAACGUAGCGAAAUGCGAUAAGUAAUGUGAAUUGCAGAAUUCAGUGAAUCAUCGAAUCUUUGAACGCAUCUUGCGCUCCUUGGUAUUCCUUGGAGCAUGCCUGUUUGAGUAUCAUGAGCAAAUCUCAAAGUCAAUUCCUUUUGUUGAUUCAAUUGGUUUUGCUUUGGACUUGGAGGCCUUGCAGAUUUCACAGUCUGCUCCUCUUAAAUGCAUUAGCUGGAUCUCAGUAAUUAUGCUUGGUUCCACUCGGCGUGAUAAGUAUCACUCGCUGAGGACACUGUUAAAAAGGUGGCCAGGAAAAUACUGAUUGAACCGCUUCUAACGGUCUAUUAAGUUAGACAAUUACCCUUAAGUUUGAUCUCAAAUCAGGUAGGACUACCCGCUGAACUUAAGCAUAUCAAUAAGCGGAGGU